rnacentral:rRNA from 1 species
UACGUAGGGUGCAAGCGUUAAUCGGAAUUACUGGGCGUAAAGCGUGCGCAGGCGGCUUUGCAAGACAGAUGUGAAAAUCCCCCGGGCUCAACCUGGGAACUGCAUUUGUGACUGCAAGGCUAGAGUACGGUAGAGGGGGGAUGGAAUUCCGCGUGUAGCAGUGAAAAUGCGUAGAUAUGCGGAGGAACACCGAUGGCGAAGGCAAUCCCCCUGGACCUGUAC